AUGAAUGACAGCACUGGUCCCGCAGUGAAGCCCUCCGUGUCUCUGCUGCCGCCCUCUUCUCUGCAGAUCUCUGGAGACUCAGCCGCACUGCUCUGCCUGCUCAGCUCUUACUCUCCACAGGGGGCGCAGGUGAGCUGGACGCUGGACGGGUCAGAGGUCACCGAGGGGGUUCAGACCAGCACACAGAGAGCGAGCGGGAUGGACGCUACAGCCGCAGCAGCGUCCUGAGCCUCAGCAAAGCACGCUGGGAAGGUGCAGAUCGCUUCGUCUGCAGAGUAAAACACAACGGAGCUGAUCAAGAGGCCUCGUUCCUCAAGAGCUCCUGCUGAUGUUUCUCCAGUGAAGAGCAGCAGGAUUCACAGCAGUCACGUGAUUUACAGCUCAAUACUGAAACUGUCUUUCAAUGUGCUGCCAUUGAUGUUCAUUCAAUAAAGCUUCUGAACGCCUUA